rnacentral:lncRNA from 1 species
UGAGAUAAGUCGCGGCCGCGAGUAGGGUGGGUGUAGUAGGAGUGGUGGCGCGAGCUUUGGCACUGAGGAGCGUCAUCAAUGCGCGUGGUGGGGGUGGGCUGAUGUUUGGAUUUGGUGAUCUUAAUGAGCUUUUCCAACCUGAAUGAUGCUAUGACCGAGCCGCCACGUGGUCACCAGUUUUACUUCAGGUAUUUAAGCAGGCAGCAGUUAUUAAACGUCACGUUAGCGUGGAGAAGGAGCUUUCUGCUUUACGUAAAGUGGGUGAACUGGUUUUUCAGUUUACGCUGCGUGAUGGGCCUUUCUAGAGCUUCCAGAGAGGCAGAACUGUGUUGGAAGAGCAAAGGCUCAGUACCUGCCCCACUUCAGAUCUUCUACGUGACCAGCUGGAAAUUUCAUGAAUCACAGGUGAGACCUGCACAGAGAGCUUCUGCAACAGUUUCAUUUGGACAAGAGGAGCAAAAUAGUCCUUCAUCAGUACUAAAAGCUAUCUUGAAGCUCUUAUUAAACUGCCAGUGCAGAUAGUCUCCACUUCUACUAUUUUGUUACAACACUUUGAAACUAUAAUCUGCACACAGCAAGGAAUGUGAAUGCCUGUGCUACAUCAGUUGUGUAAAAUAGCAUUCAUUUCUUUUUCUAGAGAAGUACUGUUAGCAGUAUUCUAAGUAGUACAUGCUCUCCCAGUUUGAUUAAAGUGCUAUUCUCAAAUGUAAAGCCUCUUUCAGUGUUUCAGUAGGACAGACUGCUCCAGGUAUGAUUUGCAAGUCUUGAACAUGCAUCACCCUGUAUUUUCAAAGUAUUCCUGAGGGAUGGUAGGUCAUAAUAAACAACACUACUUGCUGACAAAUAAAUUCAAGUCAUACUAUAAGAGAAUAUUGUUGAAUACACAGAUCUGACCGACUUAAUAUGGUUUCUGUCUGUUGGAAAUCAUGGUUAAAAAGAUACGGUCAGUUAACAUCUGAAAGUUGAAUGUUUGACUUGUGUAAAAGGAAGUGAUUAAAUAAGUCCUGUAGAAAUAUAUUUAGUUCAUACUUCAUACCUGCAACAGACAAAUUCAAUUCUCCUUCCGCUUGCAAAUACGAAAAUAAUUGUUUCUGAACGUGAAGUAGGAUAGGGUAGCCACAGAGAAGGCUGAGGCUUCAUUCCACCUUUAACAGAAUGUGUCAUGAUUUGACUGAAGUUUACUGAAAGAAGUAGCAAGCAGAAAAGUCAGCUAGCACACAAAUAGACUUGUGCCCUUCAAACUAAUGAGCUUACCAGUGGCAUUCUCUGGAAUUGGUGCUCUUUUGGAAUUGCAAGGAACUUUUAUACCAGUUGUAUGUUGUUGUGCUUAAAGCUGUUGUAUUAACAGAAGUGUAAGAGAAAGCUUCUCUUGGCCUGCCAUAAGGACAUUAUCCAGCAGGUGGAGUUUGACAGGAUGGUGAGCACAGGCCAAGUAGACAAGGGCGAACAAGUUACUGGCACACAGGAGCUGAAGAUUGCAUGAGCAUUGAACACCUAAUAGAUUGGCACAUAAGCAGUGUUCCUAUGGAACUGAUUUUCUGACCAGGCUGUGUCAUGGAAAGGAAAUGUAACUUGAGGAAGUACAGCUGUGGUGGAGGAACACGUGUACUGGGCCCUAAGACCUGACUCUUGUAACAAGAACUAGAACAACAAAGACAAGAGAAGGAAAUUAAGGAAAGAAGGAUGACUCACAACUUGUAUAUUGAAGAUCACAUUCAGAAAUGGUGACAAAGAAGCUAUGAACAAAUCAAGAUUGAAAAAAAAGAAAAGAAAAAACAGCAUUUAUGCCAGGAAAACUCAAUUGUUUGAGUGCUCAUGGAAAAGAAAUGCAAGAGCUGCCUUGGUAUCACUAAAGCAAGUUCACUGAAAAAUAGGACACUUUGAGAAGGACUCAGAAACAGCAUUUGGAAUGGAGAACUCAAACUGCAUUGUAGGCCGAACUAAUGCCUGAUAUUUAAGUAUAGGGGAGAUGUGGAGUUCUGAAGCUGAAAUUGAGAAGCCUGGAUCUGACAUGGAAUGUAAAGGAAUGACAAAACUGGAUGCCAAGAGGCGUUUUCAGCAGCAGUAUUGCCAGGACACUGAAGAAACCAGAGAGACAAGCAGGAAAAUGGGAAAUGUCAAAAGUCUCUACCGUGGUCUCAGGAUCAGAGAGAGGAAGGAUGUUUCAGAGAACAAUCUGAAAGGGAAAUGUGAGAUUUGGCAGCAGGUUAGCUAAGGAAGAAAUAAGAGUGAAAGAAGAGUCAGCUUGGGGAGUACUGUAGGCUGUCUCUACUGUAAGAUAAAUUCACAGCAAGCCCAGUAUGUCUAAGCAGUAUGAAUGAGCUUGUAUUUUAAUGCCCAAGAGGUGAGGGAAAAAAUAAAUUUCCUUUGGUUGAGAAGACAAAAAGUGGCUUCUUUCAUCCACCUGAGAAGGAGUAGGGCUGCAGGCACGGUAGACAAGAAGUCAGAUGCUGUGGCAUGCCAACUGCCAAGACACCUAGCAAGUCUGUCUUUCCUUGUCCUCCUGUGUUGUUUUUUUAUCACCCUGCUGGUCUGCAAGGUUAUAUGCUGCUUCUUUUUUUCCCCCAUCCUGAUUACUGCUUGCUUUGCUAAUAAGGGAAUAAUGAUGAGGAAGUAUGUCAUACAAAUUGUUAGACAAAGAUAAGGAUGGCUACAGGGAUAGCGCCAACUGAGAAGGCAGCAACAGUGAAAUUGACUGUUUUUAGUAAUCACAUGAGAAGAAAUACAUGCUUUUGUUUUCAGAGUAAACAUUUUACUGUCUAGAUGGAAAAGUCCAGCAGCCAAAGUUGUUAUUACAAGCUGAUUUAAAGACACAGGUGAGGAAGUACUUGAAGAUAUUUGUUUGCUUCGUGUUGGCUUUAUAAGACGUGGCUUACUGGUUUCUGAAGGCUUGAAAAUGUCUUGCAGUUUUUCAUGUUGACUGGUAAAUCCUUUUGUGCCUAGAGUGCCAUCCCCUCAUAGAGUCACUGUUCAUAAUACUGAACUAUGACUGUAUAUGAGAAGGAUGGUUGUACAAUCAGAGGAUCUGAAAAACUGCUAUGUCUGUUGUUCUUAAUACUCUUAAGGCUUUAUAAUGCACUGUAUUUUCUGAACUGAUGCAAGAACAAGCCUUUGAUGAUAGAAAAACUGCAGUUUAUAGUACAGAAGGAAGUGUGAAUUGAUUUUGCCAAUUUGGGAAAUGAAAUAGGCAGUACAGAAGUUCUUAGACCCACUUUCCCAGUUGAAAAGCACUUAGGUAAAACUGGACAAAAAGCCAGAGGAGAACUAAGUGAAAUUUCACACUCAGUGAGAUGCCUCACGUCUGAGCAACCAGCCAGACCUUAGUGUUUUAAUAUCCCUAAUCUAUUCUGUGCUUUAAUGAGAUCUUGAGCUAUUGGCUCUGAAGAUUAUUAGUGCCCUGGUGAAUAGCCAUUCAAUCUUCAGGCGUGUGAUGAGAAUUUGCUUCCUCUUUCAAUCCUUCAGCUUCUUGGCUAGAAUUUAUUAUUUCCCUAAAUAAAAGCAGCUGCAAAAUUUCAUUAGGUGUUAUAGUACCCCUUUCUGCUGUAUUUAACCUUGUCUCAUUAAAUAGAUUACAUCCUUGCCUCUUGUAAUUAAGUGCAAAUCAAACACAAUAUUUUAAUAUUAUAUUAAAAAUGUAAGAAAUAGGACGCCUUUUCAGCUGCCAUUCUGAAAUUCCUGAAGGCAGGAGUGCUACUUUGACAGUGACAAAUUCUUCCAGAAACAUCUGGUCUAUAAAGUACAUUUUCUCCUUAUAGAUCUGAUAGUAAAAUCAUAAAUACCAAAGACAAAGUGUUCUGUUCUGUCACACUUGAAUUCCAUUUAAAGAGAGUUCUUUAUCUAUUUCAUCUGUUCAGUAUCUGAGUGAUUUAACUACCUGCAAAGGCUUCUGUUGAGUAUGGGUUUUCUGGACACCAGCAAUCUUAAAUAUUAGAAGAGCCCAGGCUGUAGAGAAAAAAAAAAAACAUGAAUCUAAUAAUGGGUUGUGUAUUAAUUCAGCAAGCCUUUGGUUUUAUUUAAUAAGCAAAGAAAAAUUAUACUUCCACAAUCUACUGAGAGUCCAGUCAAACUAUGUGAUAAAUACUGACAAGAAAAAAUUAUCUUGCAUGUUCUAAAGUUGGGUCAAGAGAAGCACUAUGAACCCACACCUUCCUUAUGUGAACUUGCUAAGUCCCACGUCUAAAUUUCAUCCAUUUAACAUUUGUCACAUAACUGGGGUCCUUCAGUUAAGUUCUUUGCAGAAAUAAAAGAGGAAUUGUCUGUUUGAGGGCUUUGAUGUUGCAUCUCUCUUGAAAGCACCUUUCUCCCUGUGCUGACUGUAAGGUUGUGCAGGGCAGCAGUGCUGAUCUGAAGUUGGAGAUGUAAGUUCAGUGGUAUUCUCUGUGCUCAAUGUAACCAAAAUGCACUGUGUGUCUCCAUCCUAUACCUUUGGAGUUAAGCAUUAGGUAAAUAUAGAGCAUUUCCCCAAGUUUGUUUCAGGUAUGAACUAUGUGUAUGCUAUUAGCUAUCUCUGUAUCCAGGAGAGAUUUAUGUUGAUAAUAUUAUCAUUAACUCUAAUUUGAUUUCAAACUGAGUCACUGAUUACAUGGUUUCUAAGUCUCAGAUUCUGCUUCCUUGGGGAAGCAGAGGUGAGAAAGUUUGCAUGCUAUUGCAUAUAUAAUUAAAAACCACUUCCCAUUAUGUAUAUAUGCUGUCCCUGCCCUGCUAUACUGUCCUUUGCUCCUUUGCACCUUUUCCAUCCUAGCUGGUAGUGAUGCAGCAGCAGUCAGUCCGUUCUGUUACGUGUGCCUGAGUCGGGCUGCAGCCUUUUCUUAACAAGAGCCAAGGGCAGGUAUCAUGCUGCUCUGAUUUACCUGCAUGGCUGCGUUAGACCCAGUCAUUUCAAAGUUCUUAAUGAUGGCAAUUUAUCAAACAAGCCUUAAAAUAAUAGGCACUGUUUCCAAAAUGCCAUGGCAUUAGCAACCCACUCUUUAUGGAGUGGCAUAAUGUUUUCUUAAAAAAAUAUGUAAUGGACAAAUAAAUAACAACAACGACAAAAAACCUCAAAAAGAAAUAAGAAAAACACCUCCCCCACCCCAUGUUUGGAACAAGCUCGAUACGUGGUAUGUUUUCACAUUGUUUAGUACAGUCUGAAAAUUGCCUAAGUGCACAAAAUGGGUCACCCUGAUUAUGUUUUGAGGCUGUGAAUUCUUGCAAGAAGUUGUUAAUGCACGAGCAGUCCUGCUCAGCAGAGUACGUUACAGCAGGAGCACGGCUACAGCUUACUGUGGGAGGUGGGAAGUGGCUCAGUUUGAGAUCGGAUGAGAACAGCCAACUACUUCACCUGAAAAGAUCUCUCUCUAGAGGAAGGUCAGGCUAAUUCUGCUAGAAUCGUGCAAACCAGUAAUUUGAAGUGCUCCUUGCAGUGAAUCGAUGGAUGUGCAUUACUUUGUGAAAGUGUGCAUUAAUGUUUGUAAGUAUUAACACUUAAAAUACAUUCCUUGCUCUCUCUUAGUUGAUAAUGUCAUCUCUGGAAGUGUUUAGCAAAUUAUAAAAUGUAAUUAAUACAUAUAUUUGUGUGUGCAUGGCUUAUAUUUGUCUCUUUUUGAGAGGGCAAGCCUUAGGCUGAAGUGCUUGCUAUUUUGCAAAGCCUUGAGGACUGUACUGACCUGGUAAGUCAGAAGUUGUUCCAUCUUCUGUUUUGACAGUAGGAAUAGGAAGAGAAUUGCUUUCCCUACAGUGCCAAAGUGAGAAGGAACUUAACACUGAUCUGUGAGCUUUUUAGCUCUGUAGGCUGUGUCAGUGUAGGAAAUUGUAUGGAUGAAUGGAUGCGGAUCUACAGAAACAAGCAGGUGUUGGUGCAGGCUCAAGGUACUCAGUAUAUAUGCAUUCAGGAGGGAUGAGGGAUUUAACGAUGAUCUGAUCACUUAGGAUCUUAUUUUGUGAACUGAAUGCUUAUUUACGGUUGAAGUGCACUUCCUAUUUAGUUUCAUCUGAAAGGAGUCUAGGUAGUGCACGCCAGAAGUAAUCCACCGUAUGAGCCAAAGCAGGUGAGUGGGGACAGUCAGGAGGUGUACUUCUAAUAAAUGGGUUUAUUUCUUAGGAAAUGUCUUGGCUCUACUGUUAUUGCUCUAGCACGAUUAAGGUCUUGGCUACUGAAGUAUAUUGGUGGAAUGUGAGAAGCAAUCAAAACCAAUUCAGCAUCCUGGUAGUUUUGCUAUGGCUCAACAGGAGCUGGAUCUGAGAAUGAGUGAGAGAAGCAGUCAGUCUCUAUUGUUCGGCCUCUGUGAGUAAAAACAUAACAAUUAGAAACUGGAAAAGGAGUUAAUGCCAGGCUUGCGCUGGUAAUGAUUGACUUUUCCAUUCAUGUGGCUGCAUAUACAAGGCCAUCAAGAGAUGAGGAAUAAGGAUUGUAUUUACCAAACUCAGUGUAUUUCUGUGAGCUCUGUACUUACUGUUGCUGCACUAAUGUGGCUAUUUCAGGACUACUGGUUUGUAAAAUAAGAUACUUCAUUUUUACCAUCACUCAUAUAAGCUUGGCAUUCUACUGGCAUUGCAUUAAGGAUAUAAAUUCAUCUUCUGAAAAAACAAACAUUGAUAGUAUAAGAAAUUGGAAAUUGCUAAUAUUAACUUCAAAUGAUAAGGUGUCAGCUAUUACAAAUUCUAUGGGGCACAGUGUAAUUUGGAAACAAAAGAGACAGCUAAAAGUAAGAAUAUAUGUUUUCAACAAACCGUGUGGCCGUGCUGUACCUUCAGCACAAUAUAAUCUCAUGGAUUAGAGAAACUUCUACUUAACCCUCCAGUAUCAGGGUUCAUGUUGCUCAUCUGUCCACUUGCUGCUUGCAGAAUGGAGCUCAUCACUAGCUGUCACAGGAAGCUUAGUCAGCUCUGUUAAAUAUAUAGGAUGUCUGAUUUUCAGCUGUAUGAUGAAGCUUAACAUCUAAUCUUAAUGUUGGGUACAGUCAGCUGUAAAGGAAAAAGCUGUUUGGAAAGCUCAGAACUCGUAUGGCUGAGCAGAAUUUGCUUAUAACGCCGGUGAAGUAGUACAGGUCUCAUGAGCUAUGACCGCUGAGUGAGUUUAAUUUCUAUGAUAUCAUAAGUGCGAUUCUCUCAUGCUUUCCAAGGCUAAGUAAGGUGUAGCUAUAAUCAAACAUGUAGCCAUUAAAGCUGCUUAGUCCUAGAGUCAGAUUCAUUUCCUGUCUUCAAGCACUAGUGGACUGUUGAAAUUUGGGAUGCAGGCCUACGAUGACACAAAAUGCGUUAUAAUAUACUUGGUGGGAACCUCUGCCAUUAUUAUUAUUUAUUUUUUAAAUGUCAGUUGUCAAACUGGAAACGUUUUUCAGGGAAAAAAAAAACAAAAAACCCAAAACAUUUUACUGAGGAUUUCACAUGCACAGUUUUGGAAUUAUAAUGACCAUCCAGAAGGAAUUUAAUUGGUGAUGAAAUUCAAACUUAGUGCAAGUCAUUUUUUUUUUUAAUGGAGAAAAAAAAAAAAGUCUUGUAUUUAAUCUGGAAUAAAAAUACUUUUGAGAUCUCAAAAAUAUUGGCAUCUUUUUUCCUGUGCAGGCUACUGAGAACUGGGCUUAGUCCAGAAAACCGGUGGCAAUGGCUUGGAAAUGCACGGAAGCACAUAAUCUUGCAAAUCAAGCUGCUAAUGGAAACUGGGGUAUGUCAUUUUUGCUCUCUAUUCCAAGUUUGUUGGUAGCUACCAUCUGGAAUUUAAAAACAUUAAUGAUGAUUAUGAGAUUAGAAGGAUAAAAAGCCACAGCAGCUCUCAGAUAUUACAGCAGAGCUUUUCCCAUGUGCCUGAGGGAAAAGUACUGUAUCCCGUGCAGAAUAUUUUCAGAUUAUUUUAAUUCAGUUGAUUUUUAUUUAUGCAUAUAUUUUUAAUGAUUGAACAAUUGUUCAAAGCCUUUAAAAAGGAUAAAGGGAAACGUUGGGUGCAUAAUUCAUGUGCCAUUUGCAGCCAACCAUCUUGCACAACCAGGAAGGUUCAGAGGAAGAAAAGUACAAUUCAAAAGGAGAUGCUGGGCUGUGAAAUAAGGAAAGAAGCAAAAAUCUCACACUUCCACAGUUUGAACUGUGAAAUGUUAAUUAAGUAUAAAGGAAAAACAUGUUGAAGCUUCAGAGCAUUAUGUCCAAGGCAGAGGAAGUGUCAUGGUUAAGGGUGAAUAUGACUGCAACAUGGCAUGCUGUCUUGCACAGUCAGUUGACUGGAAAACAGAUCCUGAUGCACAGGAUGGAAUGAGCAGGUCUGACUGGCGGGGACAAGGAAUGGAGGUGAAUGGCAGUGGGCAUUCUUCUUUUCUUCUUUUCUUUUCUUCGACAGGUGCCAUCCAAGGUAGAUCCUCAGUCACUGGUGCUUUUGUCCUAAACUGGUUAUUUUGGAUUGCAAAUGUGAGGCAGUGAUCAGCUGGUUUUCUGUCAUCACCUGAAGGAGCCACUCUGUGGAUGCUGAAGUGCACUCAGAACACAGGAGAACAGUCACCACGAGUUACAGGGAGACCUCAGAUCAGUGUCCUGCUCAGGAAGAAAAGAAAGAGGUUCUGAUCAGAGGAAGUUGACAGCUUGUCCUUAAAAUUAGACAUGCCCUUGAGGAAACCACACAGGGAUCACAAUUUCCAUCAGCUCCAGAGACGUAGUAGUUGCUAGAGGGGUCAUUUACUUAAGUGGUUGGUACUUUCUGGAGUAUAUAUAAAGAAAAGAAAGUAAGCUAUUACAUUAAAUAGCUCUUAAGUAGGAUGGAACAAUGAGGUUGGUGAAAAGUAGUGUUUAUAAAUGUUACUGAAGAAAAAAUAAUCAGCAGAUGAAGAAGUACAGUUAUUAACACAAAUGAUUUCCAUGCAUGGAUUUGCAAAGCUCUUAGUCCAAACAAACGAUUUAGGUAAUGCCAGUAGAGAUGGAUGGCUGUUCCUACUGAGCACAGAAUUAAGAGAAAAAGAAAGCUGGUGACAUCAGUAUCAUCUGAUUGAAGGUGAACCUAAGCUAAAGAAAUCUGGAAGUGUGUUCAGCCCAGAGCACAACCUGGCAUUACACAAAGCUGUGUGCUGGAGAGGUUAGGGAAGCCGGACAGCUGAUAUCCAUCAAGGAGAGAGAGCUCUUUCUGUGGUGGGCUGGCUAAUUGUUUGUUUAGGCAUUCAGCUGGGUUGCAGAAGACUUGUGUUUGGUUUCAGGUUUGUUUAAAACACCCUAUGCUCCCUGGACCGUUAAUUAUUUGACCUCUGUUGUGGUUCCUAUGUAAGAUGUUGGUAUAAUAGUUCUUUUCAUUGAGGAUAUAUGCUGGUAACCAACCGAAAAGGUCACUGCCCAGGUGCUGUUACUCUGUGUUCCACCCUAUAAAAGACAGAGAAACCAGAAUGGGUGUUUUCUUUCUGUAAGCUUCACUAAUGAAAUCUAUUCUCACUGGAGCUCAUUGAUCAACGUUGUUUGAUGAAUGGUUAUUUGCUUGAUCUAAUGUUUACUGAAGUCAGCAGAAAUCUUUCACUGGACAUUUAAUUUUUAUUUUUUUUCCUGUCUUGCUGCUGUGCUUUAUGGCCAAUGAACCGGCGGAGGAAAAAUGCUCAGGAAUAAAAGCCCUUGGGAUGAGUAUGAAGGAACAGAGAUCUUCAGGGUUAUACAGUUUGUAGCUUUAAAGUAAUGAUAACUUCUUUCAGUUCCAGUUGGAAGACCCCAGAGGCCAAGAUUAACCUUAAUACAACACGUAGGUAAAGAGCAGGAGGUGGAGGAGCACGUGGUACAACAAAGGGUCAUGUCUGGAAGAUGGAGGGAAGGGGGAGCAAACCAAAUAAUUGGUUAUUAUUAGCAACUAAUUACUGUAGAUACUAUGAAUCUUGUGAGAAGCAAUACUGAAAUAGCCGCUGUGGUUUUUAGUUGGAUUAAGCUGUAUUUCAGUCUCAAACUUGUGAAGCUGCAGACACAUAACAUGUGCUGAAGCACAGGUUUAGCUUCUUUAAGAAAUAGAGGUUACAGGUGCAUGUGAUUGUACAUGUACAGCAAAUUCUUUUGUUUUCAAGAAAAUCUUUUAAUUUGAGCUUGAAACUGGAUCCUGCUGGCCUUAUUUUAGACUAGAAGUCUAAAGACUGGAUAAAGAUAGCCUUGCUUUAGUGCAGCAGCAGCAGAUGAAUCUCUGACUUCUCACAAGGUGGUGAUAGCAGUGUGGGUUCUUUGCAAUGCCUAUACUGGAAAAUACUUUCACCAAGGCAGAAUCAGACAGUAAUGAAUUAAUUCCAUUGUGUAGUUCAUCUACUUUGCUUGAUGUGGAUGGUUCUUUUCUGGCAUUGUAUGGCAAUCAUCGUUUUGGUGUGUUUAGACUCUCAUCACAUCAAGGUCCUGAUUUAGCAAAUACCUGGAACAGAAUCUCUAAGUACUGGGAUGUUCUAUGAAAUUGAACAUGUCAUUCAAGUGCUUUAAGGAGGCUUAGUGUAAUUUACUCAUUUUGUCUUUUUGCUGAUAGUUCCUGGAGGGAUUUUUAUGCCUUUAGGACAAAUUAUCUGAUGAACCUGCAAUAAAAAGCAGGACUUAGUCCUAGAGAACAAGAUUCCAAGUGGGUCUUUAAAUUCCACAGCCAAAGCAUCUUUAUGUGGUAAGGAGCAGCACACGAGGCCUUCAGAUGAGACAUUUUCCACAGGAUGAGAAUUCAGUGAAAAUGUAUUUUGAAAAUCCUGCCCUCACUUGAUAUUUAUUCUGCUAUCCAUUUGCAUGCAUUGUCUUUGAGACCAUAUAUUCUAUACCAUGUUAUUGGACAGUGAUAAAUGGCUCAACAAAGUUAAAAUUUAAUGAGAAAAGGGCAAUGAGAUGUUGUGCUUUUAUAAUGACUUAUCUGGCUUGUACAGAUAAGAUUGCGUAUGAAAUAUAAUAAUGUUAUCAAUGUAAUCUAUGUUACUUUGGACAUUACCAUACUUAUGAUUCAUUAACAGUAACUGUUUUGCUAUGUAGCUUUCUGUACUGGUUAUGUUGCUUGGCAACAUUAACUCCAAGAUAAUGAUGUCUUACUGCCUGUGAUUAAAUAAUGCUUUUUCCCCCAUAUUGUUUAUGAUAUAUCUAGCUUAUUUAUUUUCUUGUUUGCAAACUCUGUUCCUUAUUUUUCAUGCCAAAUAUAGCAAGGUAUGUAUACGUUCCUUGAAUAAUUCUGUGCUUAAAAUUCACCGCAUAUAUUCCCCUACUAAAGUGAAUGCAAAUAGCAAAAUAGUAUGAUGGAAAAAUAAAACCAGUGCACAAUAAUGCGAAGAACAUAAAAUGGAGAAGCAGUCUGUAGAACUACUGCUGAUACUGCUGAAUAAAUCCUUAAAGCCUUUUCAGCAGAAGUGCGUUGCUAAUAACCAUGGAUAAUGCCCUAGUUCUAUGAUUUAAUUCUCCUCUUAAAUAAAUAAAUAGGAAGCUAUGGGGCUUGCCCAUAUGCAGUGC